rnacentral:rRNA from 1 species
UACGGGGGGGGGCAAGCGUUGUUCGGAAUUACUGGGCGUAAAGGGCGCGUAGGCGGCACGGCAAGUCGGGAGUGAAAGCCCGGGGCUCAACCCCGGAACGUCUUUCGAAACUGCCGAGCUAGAGUGCGGAAGGGGCAACUGGAAUUUACGGUGUAGCAGUGAAAUGCGUAGAGAUCGUAAGGAAGACCAGUGGCGAAGGCGAGUUUCUGGACGGUAACUGACGCUGAGGCACGGAAGGCCCAGGGGGAGCAAAACGGGG